CCUACGGGAGGCAGCAGUGAGGAAUAUUGGACAAUGGAUGGAAAUCUGAUCCAGCCAUGCCGCGUGCAGGAAGACGGCCUUAUGGGUUGUAAACUGCUUUUGUCGGGGAAUAAACCUAGAUACGUGUAUUUAGUUGAAGGUACCCGAAGAAUAAGGAUCGGCUAACUCCGUGCCAGCAGCCGCGGUAAUACGGAGGAUCCAAGCGUUAUCCGGAUUUAUUGGGUUUAAAGGGUGCGUAGGCGGUAAAUUAAGUCAGAGGUGAAAGCCUGCAGCUCAACUGUAGAACUGCCUUUGAUACUGGUUUACUUGAGUACAGAUGAAGUGGGCGGAAUGUGACAAGUAGCGGUGAAAUGCAUAGAUAUGUCACAGAACACCGAUUGCGAAGGCAGCUCACUAAAGUUUAUUGACGCUGAGGCACGAAAGUGUGGGGAUCAAACAGGAUUAGAUACCCUGGUAGUCCACACUGUAAACGAUGAUAACUCGCUGUCGGCGAUACACAGUCGGUGGCCAAGCGAAAGCAUUAAGUUAUCCACCUGGGGAGUACGACCGCAAGGUUGAAACUCAAAGGAAUUGACGG
rnacentral:rRNA from 1 species